GUACGGAAGGCAGCAAUUAGGAAUCUUGCGCAAUGGGGGAAACCCUGACGCAGCGACGCCGCGUGAAUGAUGAGGUCUUUCGGGAUGUAAAGUUCUGUCCUACAGGGAAGAAGAAUGUGACGGUACCUGUAGAGAAAGCCCCGGCUAACUACGUGCCAGCAGCCGCGGUAAUACGUAGGGGGCGAGCGUUGUCCGAAUUUAUUGGGCGUAAAGCGCGUGUAGGCGGCUCUUUAAGUCAGAUGUGAAAUCCCGCAGCUCAACUGCGGAACUGCAUUUGAUACUGGAGGGCUUGAGUGUGGGAGAGGAAAGUGGAAUUCCUGGUGUAGCGGUGAAAUGCGUAGAUAUCAGGAGGAACACCCGUGGCGAAGGCGGCUUUCUGGCCCACCACUGACGCUGAGACGCGAAAGCUAGGGGAGCGAACGGGAUUAGAUACCCGAGUAGUC
rnacentral:rRNA from 1 species